AAAUUUCAAGUCCACAUAUCCACUACAAUUACUAUCUGUUCGAUUCGCAUGCAGCUGGCAAGCGAAAAGUAAAACAUCGAAAAACGUGCCCUCUAUCGUGUAGAUUUUCGAUUACACGACAUCUAACGGAAAACCUCAUCCUCGUACUCUCGACAAAACUCGAGCAACGAAACCGAAAAGAGGAGGAAGAGGAGAAGGAGGAGAAACCUAGCUCGUUUCUCUCCCCAGAGAGAAGCAUAGCAUACCCAAUAGUUGAGUCAGGUCAGUUUGCUAGCCUUACAUAAAAGAGGCUAAGUAACGACGAAGAGAAAGAAGAUAGGAAACGUUAUAAGAUAUACACACAGGAUGAACGAAGCGAAUCUGAAGAGAACAGUGCUACGAGAGAAGCAUCGAAGUAAGAAGAGGAGGGGUAACAAGGAAACGGGUGGGGGCACCUGUUACAACCGACCAGAUCGUUCUUUCGCUCUCCCUUUUCCCUCUUUGUCGUGCACUCAUCCACAUGCCACUUAGGCUGUUACAUUGAAAUUUCUACGGAACGAUCGGAUAUAUGCAGCGCUUCUAAAAUGGGAGAGCAAACUUUGGAUGUGUAUACUAAACGUUUCAUCUAUAACGGGACAAGAUGGACUCUUCGUGCUUACUAUAGAUAAGACGUUACUACGUUAAUCGUUUCAACGAUAUGUAUUUUGAUUUAUCAAUACGUCUUAUGUCAAUUCUUGAGGGCCUUAACGAUGUUCACCUUGAAGAUGGAAAAAGGACCCAUGGACACACACACAAUACGGGAAAAGGACCCAUGGACACACACAAUACGGGAAAAGGACUCCCUUCCGAGUUACAGCUACUUUUUGUUUGUGAUAAAAAUUUACAAGGAUAUCUGGCAAGUUUGUAAACGCUUAAUUUUAGAAUAAGCAUUCACCGGUUAACGGUUAGAAAUAAUUUUCUUCCUUAACAAGAGGUUUCUUGCACCUCUAGUUACUUUGAGUUCUGUCACGUGAAACUAUGUAAUUUGAAUAUUGACGACGGUAAUAACAUAAACGAACAACUUCAAACACCUUAUAAUAAAAUAAAACUACAAUUAA